CGGCGGACGGGUGAGUAACACGUGGAUAACUUACCUAUAAGACUGGGAUAACUUCGGGAAACCGGAGCUAAUACCGGAUAAUAUAUUGAACCGCAUGGUCCAAUAGUGAAAGACGGUUUUGCUGUCACUUAUAGAUGGAUCCGCGCCGCAUUAGCUAGUUGGUAAGGUAACGGCUUACCAAGGCAACGAUGCGUAGCCGACCUGAGAGGGUGAUCGGCCACACUGGAACUGAGACACGGUCCAGACUCCUACGGGAGGCAGCAGUC
rnacentral:rRNA from 1 species